rnacentral:rRNA from 1 species
UACGAAGGGGCUAGCGUUGCUCGGAAUCACUGGGCGUAAAGCGCACGUAGGCGGAUCUUUAAGUCAGGGGUGAAAUCCCGGAGCUCAACUCCGGAACUGCCUUUGAUACUGAGGGUCUCGAGUUCGGGAGAGGUGAGUGGAACUGCGAGUGUAGAGGUGAAAUUCGUAGAUAUUCGCAAGAACACCAGUGGCGAAGGCGGACUCACUGGCCCGAUACUGACGCUGAGGCACGGAAAGC